AGCUUGCUCUGGGGGAUUAGUGGCGAACGGGUGAGUAACACGUGAGUAACCUGCCCUGGACUCUGGGAUAAGCGUUGGAAACGACGUCUAAUACCGGAUAGGACCUCGGAUCGCAUGAUCUGGGGUGGAAAGUUUUUUCGGUCUGGGAUGGACUCGCGGCCUAUCAGCUUGUUGGUGAGGUAACGGCUCACCAAGGCGUCGACGGGUAGCCGGCCUGAGAGGGUGACCGGCCACACUGGGACUGAGACACGGCCCAGACUCCUACGGGAGGCAGCAGUGGGGAAUAUUGCACAAUGGGCGCAAGCCUGAUGCAGCAACGCCGCGUGCGGGAUGACGGCCUUCGGGUUGUAAACCGCUUUUAGUAGGGAAGAAGGGCUUCGGCUUGACGGUACCUGCAGAAAAAGGACCGGCUAACUACGUGCCAGCAGCCGCGGUAAUACGUAGGGUCCGAGCGUUGUCCGGAAUUAUUGGGCGUAAAGAGCUCGUAGGCGGUUUGUCGCGUCUGCUGUGAAAACUAGAGGCUCAACCUCUAGCCUGCAGUGGGUACGGGCAGACUGGAGUGCGGUAGGGGAGAAUGGAAUUCCUGGUGUAGCGGUGGAAUGCGCAGAUAUCAGGAGGAACACCGAUGGCGAAGGCAGUUCUCUGGGCCGUAACUGACGCUGAGGAGCGAAAGCGUGGGGAGCGAACAGGAUUAGAUACCCUGGUAGUCCACGCCGUAAACGUUGGGCGCUAGAUGUGGGGACCUUUCC
rnacentral:rRNA from 1 species